GUCAUCAUAUCCAAGGCAGUAAAUUGUGAGGACUGCUUCCCUGAGAACACUGAGUGCAUUCUGGAAUAUUCCAAAUGUGUCCCACUUCCAUACAAAAGAAGUUCGAAUCCCGCAAGAGAGUUCACUCACCAGUGGGCUUCAUCAACAGACCAGGGCAAAGUCGGUCUGUCCCGCUACUACAACAUGCUACUUGACUAUGUCUGGAAGCCAUGGCUGCUGCCCUCAACAUGCUAAACUGAAACCCUCACAAAUAAAGUCACAAAUCAAGAAUUAACAUUGAUGGUGAUGGUGGCAAGGGUGCCUUCAUAAGGUGCCAUCCAGCAAGUCCCAGCCUGGAGCCAGAGGCUGGCACUGCACGUCAGAUGGGGGAGGAUCUAUGUUAGGCAUCAGAAAGGUGGUUUAAGCAAGAAGGAAAGAGCUUCUGCAGACAGUGUUGCAAUUAGACACCUGACUUUUACUGAGUCCCUUUUCUGGUUUGUUUUGGAUGAACUAGAGUGGUGGGCACAGAAAUUUUGUCGAUGGGUCAAACAUUCACACACUCACUCACACAACCACACUUGUGGAUUUGUCAAGCAACAAAUCUUUGUAUAUAAUCUGUUGCUCAUUGAA